rnacentral:lncRNA from 1 species
ACAUGACAUCUUACAAAGUUAUAUUAUGUGCUAGUUCAGGAUACAGCAGGUAAUGCUGCAAUGACAGACAACCCCAAAUCCCAAUGGCUUCUAUCAAGAAAGGUUUGUUUCUCACUCAUGGGACUUGUCUAUUACAGGUCCAUGGGGGACAGGAAGAGGCAUAAUCUGUACACUGUAAUUAUUCAAAACCCAAGGCUGAUGGAAGAGCCACCAUCUCACAUAAUGCCAGUCGCCUUCUAGAAGAAAGAUUGAUCCCACUGGUAAUGAAAUGCUAGCCCUGGAAGUGAUUCCCAUCACUUUGGUUCACAACUCAGUUACCAGAACUAAUCUCAUGGCCCCAUCUAACCAGAGAGGGUCAGGAAUUAUCCAGAACAAAGGAGAACCAGAAAUAUCUUGGCAAGUGGCACUAAUGACUAACAUAGUUACCUUUGCAGCUAGACAUAAAAUAGUUAAACCUCUUUUUCUUGUUCUAUCAAUGUUAGGCAUCAUUUCCGGACUCCUCAUUUUGUAAGAUGCAAUUGUUACUGUUACUAGCAGCUUCUUUGCCUUCUAUCUUUCCUCCAGCUUUGGUUCCUGACUUCUUUCAGUUCUACUUUUCCCCACCCCAAACCUUUUUUUAUUUUUUGUUAGGUUUGCUAACUCUCCCAUACAUUUCAGUAACCAUAAUCAGCUCUCUUAUGCUCUGCAAUUCUAUGACUAUAUAAAUAUUAUUUACUGCAGAGCCAAGCAAUGUGCUGCAGUUGUUUCUUUCUUAGUGCAUCUAAUGUUACAAUCUCUGGUGCCACCCUAGGGAAUUUUCAGAUGGAUUCUCCUACACUCCAUAAACUUCAGUUUUGCUUUGUAUUUGCACUGAAAUUUAAAAAUCAAUGGGAGCGUUGGAAGAUGCAGCUGAAGAAAUAUGGGCCACAUAAAGUAUUAAUGCGCCAUGGGAGCCACAAAAGGCCCAUGUGCCACCAUAGAGCUAACACAGCCUCCAUCGGCUGGAGGCUAGGACAUCUGAGGCUGAACAAGGGACAGCUCCUGCAGGAACUGAAGGCAGAGCUUAGCAUAUGGGCCCAGGAGCCAGCACAGGGAACGCAGCCUCGUGCCUGCUCCUCACUGCCAGCCUGUGCUGGCCUCCUCUAAUUGGAUUGAGUGUUCUGUCAUUUUCCCUCAGAUGCACUGU